rnacentral:rRNA from 1 species
CCCUCACGGGACUCCUCGUCUCCCACCCAGAGUCGCGGGACUGAGAGCCGCAAGGGUCUUUCGUUCUCGCCGUCGCACUCUUACGGAGUGGGCGGAGAGGCGCGAGGCCCCGUUGGUGGUUCCGGACCCGCGGGGGACCGGAGGCUGGCAGCGAGUAGGUCGGUCACCCACCCGACCCGUCUUGAAACACGGACCAAGGAGUCUAACAUGUGCGCGAGUCAAUGGGUCUUGACUAGGCCCAGGGGCGCAAUGAAAGCGAAGGAUUGCCUUGCGCACUCUGAGUGGGGAUCCCUCCUUCCCCGUGGGGGGGGCGCACCCACGACCCGUCCUAUCCGGCUCGCCGGUUGGGCGGAGUCUGAGCGUACACGUUGGGACCCGAAAGAUGGUGAACUAUGCCCGGACAGGACGAGGCCAGAGGAAACUCUGGUGGAGGUCCGCAGCGGUUCUGACGUG